rnacentral:lncRNA from 1 species
GCCUGUCCAUAGUUCUUUUUACUGUUUCAAAUGAUAUUGAAUUAAACCCUGGCCCAACAGGAAACUGCUCAAAGAUCAGAAAAUAAUUUCACGAUAUAUUUCACGAUAUAUCCAUGUGACAAACCAGUCACAUGGGACAACAAGGGAAUUGUCUGUGAUAUAUGUAACCAGUGGUAUCAUGCUCACUGCCAAUUCAUAGACAUUAAAGUGAAAC